rnacentral:rRNA from 1 species
UGGGGAAUAUUGGACAAUGGGCGCAAGCCUGAUCCAGCCAUGCCGCGUGAGUGAAGAAGGCCUUCGGGUUGUAAAGCUCUUUUGUCCGGAAAGAAAAGCCAUGGGCGAAUACCCUGUGGUUCUGACGGUACCGGAAGAAUAAGCACCGGCUAACUUCGUGCCAGCAGCCGCGGUAAUACGAAGGGUGCAAGCGUUACUCGGAAUUACUGGGCGUAAAGCGUGCGUAGGUGGUUCGUUAAGUCUGAUGUGAAAGCCCUGGGCUCAACCUGGGAACUGCAUUGGAUACUGGCGAUCUGGAGUGCGGUAGAGGGUGGCGGAAUUCCCGGUGUAGCAGUGAAAUGCGUAGAUAUCGGGAGGAACAUCCGUGGCGAAGGCGGCCACCUGGACCAGCACUGACACUGAGGCACGAAAGCGUGGGGAGCAAACAGG